CGCAGUUUCUGUCCGUUCACGAUGCGAGCCAUACUUAUAUUGUCGUUUGUUAUUAUAUCUAUAUCCCUUGUCAAAACAGCACCACAAUCAAAACUGCAAAUCAACCCAGAUGUAGAAGGCAAGCCGUUCGUGGAGGAGGUGUUGGUGGAGUCAGUACUGCACGUGAGGAGUCCAUCCCUGGCUCGCAGCUCUCGUGUCAACACAAACACCAACCUACAAGACGGCACUAAAGUCACCGAGAACAAGAUUUAAUAUUUUACUUAUUUUAAAAAUUUAAAAAUGUAAAGAAAACCAAAAUUCUAAAUAGAGGCUAUUUAAUGAUUCUGAUGUUAUGAAUUAUUGUUAAUAUAUUCGAUUAAAAAUUAGUUUCAUUAUUGCAAUAUACAUGUCAAUGUGUUCUACAAA